AGAUUCAGCUUAAUCUGACCCAAGGGCUCCUACCCUGAACCAGCAGCUGGGACUAUCCCCAGGGUACCCCUGAGAGCUGCCCCAGCCUGGGGGUGAGGGUAAGGGGUAGGGGGCUUUGUCUUGGCUGGGCCACAUCUGUCACACCCCUGUGGCCUGUGCCAUCAUAAUCAGCACCAACUAUAUAACCAGGUGGGCUGCCAGGGCCUCUGUAAAGCUAGGCCUGCUGGGAGAGGACGAGGAGGAGGCCCUGCCCCUCCAAACGUGGCCUCCUAUGGACACCAAGACUCACAGCCUUCCUAUCACCCACACCCAGCUCCAUAGCAACUCUCAGCCCCAAAGCCGCACCUGCAGCCCGUGCACCUGCACCCGCCACUGCCAGACCUUCAGCCAGAGUUGCAGACAGAGCCAGCGUGGCAGCUGGAGCCAGAACUCCAGCCAGAGCCCAGCCAGCCACCACAACCCAACUGGAGCCCACAGCUCAUCCGGCCACCAGAGCCAGAGUCCCAACGACAGUCCACCACCAAAGCGCCACAAAAAGACUAUGAACUCCCACCACUCUCCCACGCGGCCCACCAUCCUGCACUGCAGCUGCCCCAAGAACAGAAAGAACUUCGAAGGCAAGCUGAACAAGAAAAAAAUGGCCAAGAGGAUCCAGCACGUGUACAAAACCAAGACGCGGAGCUCAGGUACCCUUUUAGGAGGUGGGGAAGGGCCACCGAGCCCCCAGAUGAUAGGGAGCAGACCUUGGGGGCAGUGAGAGGAAGGCUGCAGCCAGGUCACAGAGGAACACAGGCAAGGAGGAAGAGGGAGAAGAAAAACAAUGGCAGUUGGCUAGUUGAAUGUAUGAUAUGUUGAUGGACAGGCUCUUUGAAAUUGGAUGGGUUGAUUAGGAGGAUGGAAAGAUGGACAGAUAGCAGAUAAGCUAGAUGGAAGCAUGAAUGGAGUUGCGAGGUUGGGUGGAUGACUGGGUGGGUAAAUAAUAAAUAGGUAAUAGAAAGGAUAGUUGGAAGAAUGCAUUGGUUGAAUGAUAGGAAGUUUGGAUACGAUUAGCUGGAUGGAUGAAUAAAUGGAUGAAUGCACUGGCUGGCUAGUUAUUGGUUGGUUAGGUAGAUGAUUAGUUGGAAGAUUGUGGUUGGUGGAUGAAUUGGUUAGAAAUAGUUAAAUAGCUGUAAAAGUUUUGAUGGGUUGGUUUGAUUGGUUAAAUAUUAUCUUAAUAGAGUAAUAUAGAGUAAUUGAAUAAACUGAUAGAUGGAAGAAUAGAUAUCUAGACUAAUGGGAUAGAAUGGGAAAGAAAUGUUGAAUAAAUGAAUGGAAUGAGUGAACUAAUGAAUGGAUGGAUGACAAAUGGAAGGGAUAAAUGGAUGGAUAGAUGGAUUCACAUAGGUCAAAAGGACACUGACAGUAGUCUAAACUCUAUGUCCCAUAUUCAAUCACAAAUGAGUAGCUGUAAGACCUUACAGGAGGUCAGUGACUUCAUGAAGUGCUCAGCUAUUAAAGGUUCCUUUCCCACUCCCUUAGGACGGAAAUCCAACUAAUGAGACCGCACUCCUUGGCUUGUUCUGCGUGUCUCACCCAAAUGAGAAAAUGCUAGGAUGAAGUCAAUCUUCUUGCAGGAACAUGUUACUAUGGUGAUUUCUACGCAACACUAAUUAAAGCUUGUACCUGGAAGACUAUCCCUGAGUAGUCAGUCAUUUUGAUUUCACUAAUAAAGGUGUUAAAUGUGUUUUGGGGGCCUGCACAGGGGCAGAAAUGAAUGGGGGUAGGAUGCCAAGAAGCCUGCAG
rnacentral:sRNA from 1 species